rnacentral:tRNA from 1 species
GCCCAGAUGGUGAAAUUGGCAGACACGCUGGUUUCAGGUACCAGUGCCUUCACGGGCUUGGGGGUUCAAGUCCCCCUCUGGGCA